rnacentral:rRNA from 1 species
UACGUAGGGUGCAAGCGUUGUCCGGAAUUAUUGGGCGUAAAGAGCUCGUAGGCGGUUUGUCGCGUCUGCUGUGAAAACCCGCAGCUCAACUGUGGGCUUGCAGCCGAUACGGGCGGGCUGGGAUUCGGUAGGGGAGACUGGAAUUCCUGGUGUAGCGGUGAAAUGCGUAGAUAUCUGGAGGAACACCGGUGGCGAAGGCGGCGAUCUGGGUCGAUACUGACGCUGAGGUGCGAAAGCGUGGGGAGCAAACAGG